GCUCCUGUUACAGUGGGGAUGGAGGGGCAGUGCGGGGAUGUGCACUAGGCUACUGGACGGGGAAGAUGACCGAGGAUACCUGCAGCCUUGUGGAUGCCAUACCAGCCCCAGCACCAGAGUGGAGAGACUGCUGUACCUGCAGGUGAGCAUUCACAACAGUAAACCAUCAAGACACAGAGAAGUGAGAGAUUUCUCUGGGCAGUGAGACUGCAUCGCGGAUCAGGUCGGAGUUGUGGAUAUUCUGUGGUGGCGAUUCGGGCCAAAUGCUGGUUAGAUAGGCUAAUACACAAAGGAAGGGAUUCCGUUGGUUUGUUGUAACACCUGGAGGUCCGGGAC